CAGUCAGGUUCUUCGGACCUGUCCUGAAAAGUCCCGGGGGGUAACUUCCUCGCUGGGCCAGCGUCUUAGGACACCUCCUUCUGCCAUCGGCAGAUUGACGGGAUUCGAACCAAGACAGAGCAGCAAUCAACCAAACGAGUCAGCUUUGUGCCUUGUAAGAGCAUCCUAGAACAUCCUGUGGCAGAGUUCUCUGAAGAAACUAUCUGGGUGACUAUGUAAAGCAACCCAACCCUCUUUUCCUUGACAUGACAAUAAAAAGCAGCUGAGAGGUGAGAACCGGUGGAGUUGAUCCCAGACAGUUGUUUGACUGCGGUUCUCCGUGUCUGGCUCCUCUCCCCUCUUCUGCAGAAGAGUAACUUGUGUCUCUGGUUGAUUCCUUGCAGAUUGGGAACCAUAAUAGAGCCAACAUCUUGGGGGCUCGUCCGGGAUCCCAACAUACCUGCCCUCUGACCGAGGGAGUAGGACGCGCUGAAAUCUG